rnacentral:tRNA from 1 species
GGAAGAGUUGGAAAAACUUGAGCGUCCCGACUGACAACUUCGGGAAGGUCAUCGGUUCGACUCCGAUAUUCUCCA